rfam:Oryza brachyantha chromosome 6, whole genome shotgun sequence.
AUGAAUGAUGAAAUGCACCGGGCUCCGAUCGAGCAGUGAAAAUCACGGCGUUUUGAUGGAAAAUGUGUUUUCCUAGAAAGUACUGUCUAACAC